rnacentral:rRNA from 1 species
CCUACGGGAGGCAGCAGUGGGGAAUCUUGGACAAUGGGGGCAACCCUGAUCCAGCCAUGCCGCGUGAGUGAAGAAGGCCCUAGGGUCGUAAAACUCUUUCGCCUGUGAUGAUAAUGACAGUAGCAGGUAAAGAAACCCCGGCUAACUCCGUGCCAGCAGCCGCGGUAAUACGGAGGGGGUUAGCGUUGUUCGGAAUUACUGGGCGUAAAGCGCACGUAGGCGGAUUAGAAAGUUAGAGGUGAAAUCCCGGGGCUCAACCCCGGAACUGCCUUUAAAACUACUAGUCUAGAGUUCGAGAGAGGUGAGUGGAACUCCGAGUGUAGAGGUGAAAUUCGUAGAUAUUCGGAGGAACACCAGUGGCGAAGGCGGCUCACUGGCUCGAUACUGACGCUGAGGUGCGAAAGUGUGGGGAGCAAACAGGAUUAGAUACCCUGGUAGUCCACACCGUAAACGAUGAAUGCCAGUCGUCGGGUAGUAUACUAUUCGGUGACACACCUAACGGAUUAAGCAUUCCGCCUGGGGAGUACGGUCGCAAGAUUAAAACUCAAAGGAAUGACGG